rnacentral:rRNA from 1 species
GAUGAACGCUGGCGGCGUGCCUAAUACAUGCAAGUCGAGCGAACAGACGAGGUGCUUGCUCCUCUGACGUUAGCGGCGGACGGGUGAGUAACACGUGGAUAACCUACCUAUAAGACUGGGAUAACUUCGGGAAACCGGUGCUAAUACCGGAUAAUAUCUUGAACCACAUGGUUCAAUAGUGAAAGACGGUUUUGCUGUAACUUAUAGAUAGAUCCGCGCCGCAUUAGCUAGUUGGUAAGGUAACGGCUUACCAAGGCAACGAUGCGUAGCCGACCUGAGAGGGUGAUCGGCCACACUGGAACUGAGACACGGUCCAGACUCCUACGGGAGGCAGCAGUAGGGAAUCUUCCGCAAUGGGCGAAAGCCGGACGGAGCAACGCCGCGUGAGUGAUGAAGGUCUUCGGAUCGUAAAACUCUGUGAUUAGGGAAGACCAAAUGUGUAAGUAACUAUGCACGUCUUGACGGUACCUAAUCAGAAAGGCACGGCUAACUACGUG